UACGUAGGACGCAAGCGUUGUCCGGAAUCACUGGGUGUAAAGGGUGCGUAGGCGGGAAGGUAAGUCAGUGGUGAAAUCUCACGGCUCAACCGUGAAACUGCCGUUGAUACUGCUUUUCUUGAGUUUGGGAGAGGUCGAUGGAAUUCCAGGUGUAGCGGUGAAAUUCGUAGAUAUUAGGAAGAACACCAGUGGCGAAGGCGGCUCACUGGUCCGGUACUGACGCUGAGGUGCGAAAGCGUGGGGAGCAAACAGG
rnacentral:rRNA from 1 species